rnacentral:rRNA from 1 species
AGUGAACGCUGGCGGUAGGCCUAACACAUGCAAGUCGAACGGCAGCACAGUAAGAGCUUGCUCUUACGGGUGGCGAGUGGCGGACGGGUGCGGAAUACAUCGGAAUCUACUUUUUCGUGGGGGAUAACGUAGGGAAACUUACGCUAAUACCGCAUACGACCUACGGGUGAAAGCAGGGGAUCUUCGGACCUUGCGCGAUUGAAUGAGCCGAUGUCGGAUUAGCUAGUUGGCGGGGUAAAGGCCCACCAAGGCGACGAUCCGUAGCUGGUCUGAGAGGAGGAUCAGCCACACUGGAACUGAGACACGGUCCAGACUCCUACGGGAGGCAGCAGUGGGGAAUAUUGGACAAUGGGCGCAAGCCUGAUCCAGCCAUACCGCGUGGGUGAAGAAGGCCUUCGGGUUGUAAAGCCCUUUUGUUGGGAAAGAAAAGCAGCAGGUUAAUACCCCGCUGUUCUGACGGUACCCAAGAAUAAGCACCGGCUAACUUCGUG